UUACGGCCAUAUCACGUUGAAACGCCGGUUCCCGUAAGUUAAGCAACGUCGAGCCUGGUCAGUAUCUAGAUGGGUGACCACUUAGGAAUGUCAGGUGUUGUAAG